rnacentral:tRNA from 2 species
GGGCCUGUAGUUAAGUGGUAUAACGGCGCAUUCGCAUUGCGCAAGCGGGGGUUCGAUUCCCCCCAGGUCCACAA